AACGAACGCUGGCGGCAUGCCUAACACAUGCAAGUCGAACGAGACCUUCGGGUCUAGUGGCGCACGGGUGCGUAACGCGUGGGAAUCUGCCCUUCGGUUCGGAAUAACUCAGGGAAUCUUGAGCUAAUACCGGAUGAUGUCUUCGGACCAAAGAUUUAUCGCCGAAGGAUGAGCCCGCGUCGGAUUAGCUAGUUGGUGAGGUAAAGGCUCACCAAGGCGACGAUCCGUAGCUGGUCUGAGAGGAUGAUCAGCCACACUGGGACUGAGACACGGCCCAGACUCCUACGGGAGGCAGCAGUGGGGAAUAUUGGACAAUGGGCGAAAGCCUGAUCCAGCAAUGCCGCGUGAGUGAUGAAGGCCUUAGGGUCGUAAAGCUCUUUUACCCGGGAUGAUAAUGACAGUACCGGGAGAAUAAGCCCCGGCUAACUCCGUGCCAGCAGCCGCGGUAAUACGGAGGGGGCUAGCGUUGUUCGGAAUUACUGGGCGUAAAGCGCACGUAGGCGGCUUUGUAAGUUAGAGGUGAAAGCCCGGGGCUCAACUCCGGAACUGCCUUUAAGACUGCAUCGCUAGAACGUCGGAGAGGUAAGUGGAAUUCCGAGUGUAGAGGUGAAAUUCGUAGAUAUUCGGAAGAACACCAGUGGCGAAGGCGACUUACUGGACGA
rnacentral:rRNA from 1 species